CAUCUAUGGCAUUCCAUAGGAUUCUGGUUCAUCUCUUGACCAUGGCUGAUACAUGUUGAAAUCUGUUGCUUAUGCUGUACUUCCUGCAGGCUGAAUCAAUACAGAGAUUGAUAACAAGGAGCUUGAGAAAUUUGUAUUUAUCAUCUGAAACAAAUGCUGAAAUAUGCUGAAUAACUGGAAGAUUGCUGUGUGCUACAAAUCCCCUUUUUCCUCAUUGCUGUGGCUGUUGCCGUUCUUUUCAGAAUAUCAAUAAGUUCCAAUUGAAGAGCGGAUUCUUUUGCAAUUCAGGCAUGUGCCGGCGAUAACGGGCGAGUUGGCAUGAAGAGAGGCAGAGAUGGAUUAAUUAUGCAGAGAACAUGGAAAUUCUGCUUAUCAUCGGCUAGCAAAGGAGCCCAGCUCACAUAAUCAGCAAACGAAGGGAGAGAAAAAAAUAACAAUGCAAUGGCACCUUCC